GCUUAUUUUUCACCAUCUAUUUGGCUGUGCUGGGUGCUUUUUUCCACCAUGUGUUUGGCUGUGCUGGGUGCUUAUUUUUCACCAUGGUUUGGCUGUGU
rnacentral:lncRNA from 1 species